ACUGAUCGAUCAGCAUUUCACUUUGUCCUUUCGAAGGCAAGUGUCCAGAGACCCAGGACUGCCGCGACAGAAAUGGAAUCUGCAGACCUAUGUGCACCACCACAGAGACCUCAAUCAGCGGGAUCUGCGGCACCGAUCAUUGCUUCUGCUGCGUUUCAGGUCUUCCAGACUCAUAAGAUCGGAACGCUGUCAAAACAGCGUUGCCUGCAACUCUUUCAAAUGUUCGCUUUUAGGUAAUUAGCUAUUGACUAUAUUGGCGGUGAUUUCAGUAAAGAUUUGCAAAGUGUGA